UACGUAGGGGGCUAGCGUUGCUCGGAAUCACUGGGCGUAAAGGGUGCGUAGGCGGGGCUUUAAGUCAGGGGGGAAAUCCUGGAGCUCAACUCCAGAACUGCCUUUGAUACUGAAGAUCUUGAGUUCGGGAGAGGUGAGUGGAACUGCGAGUGUAGAGGUGAAAUUCGUAGAUAUUCGCAAGAACACCAGUGGCGAAGGCGGCUCACUGGCCCGAUACUGACGCUGAGGCACGAAAGCGUGGGGAGCAAACAGG
rnacentral:rRNA from 1 species